CUGCCCUGAUAUCAAUAAAACCACAUAUAACAAUAAAUGAAAUUAAAACAAAGUUCAAUGGACUAAAAACAACAUUUGCAGCAGAGCACAAAAAGCAUUUACAAAGUUUUCGGUCUGGAGCAGGAAACGAAGAUGACAUAUACACGCCCAAAUUGUGGUAUUAUGAAAAGUUAAAAGUUCCUUUUGGACCACAUUGACACUCGUCGGUCGAUUGACUCGUUCCAAUUAACCGAAAGUGUGAGCCAAGGGGUAGAAGAAACCGAACGUAAUGAAACGGUAGAUGAUUACAUCUUACGUGAGGGUGAGGAUGGUUCACUAGAGCUAGUUGCAUUUAAUGAGGAAACACAAAAUGAUAUGGAUUUGUCGCAGCCUCCAAUAAUUGUUGAAAGUGAUGUUUCUGAAGACAGGAGUUCUGUUUACAAACAUGUACAAAGGAGUAAACAUUCACAAAAGAGGAAACUUGCUAGUUCCGACGCUGUUGUUGCUGAGGCAUCAAAUACAUUAAAAAAUAUUAGUAACCUUAUAUCCAAGCAAAGUAAUAACACAAAAACAUCCAGUAGUGUUCAUAAUGAGAAUGAUAUUGCUUUCUCACAGUUUAUUGUGACAAAAUUGAAACAAAUAUCUAAUGAUGAUAUUCGUUUAGAAGUUGAAGAAACAAUCACUAGAUGUUUAUAUGACGGAAUAAGAAGGUGUAGCCAUAAGUAAAACUUGGUUUUUUAUUUUUUCCUGUAAAUUGUUUUA